GCCGCUGUGGCAGAGUUGGUCAAUGCGUGAGAUUGAAAAUCUUGAGAUGAAGGUUCGAUUCCUUCUGGCGGCACCA
rnacentral:tRNA from 1 species